rnacentral:lncRNA from 1 species
UGGGCACUUACGCAUGAUAUCAUAUUGUCAACAAAUUUAAUGCAUGCACAUCAUUACAUCAUUGUGAGUACCGAGGUAUUUAUGUGUUCUUUCACACACAUUACUUCCUAUAUAUGUAACACUAACUAGUACCAUCUUCGGUUUUCAACCCUACAUCCAAUAAGCCUAGGAUUUUAAUCUUUUUUCAAACUGAUUGUAUCAAAAAAAUUGAUUGCUCAUAUCAGUAUUUAUAUACAUUUUAUAACAGCAAACACUAAACCUCUUUGACACCAAGUUUUAUAUAGAUUUUGAAACAGCAAACAUCAGCAGAGAUUCAUCACUUUUUAAUCAGCUUAAAAUGGUCCAAGAUAGCAAUAUUCGUCCCCAAGAUAGCAAUGUUCGUCCCCGAGGCAGCAAUGAACACCCACCUUGUUAAAUCAAUGACUCAUACUUAAAAUUGUUGAGAAGCACCGCAUAGACCAAACAUGAUUAUUUAGAGCAACCAAAAGACAACUGGACAACACUACAAGAACUGACAGGUUAUCGUCUUCACAAGCACACACAGCACCAACACAGCAGCACCAACACAGCGGUAGCAAGUACAACAAUACAAACAUGUGCAGUAAAUCAAAGAGGAUGCAUAGUAAAGAGUAAGAAAACGAACACACCUUGAAGGAAAAUCUGCACCGAUAAAACCAACCACCUCAGCAAAAACACCGCACCAUGAACAGUAAGACCACCGCACCGCACCACCGCACUGCACUAACACUCAGAACAAAGGUAAAGCAUAAAGGAUGAAGGAGGUGGGAAGAAGAGAGAAACGGAAGUGAGAGGAAGAGGCGGAUCUCAAAAAUGUUUUGGGGGGUGGGCUGUGAGGAGAAUAAAAGUG